CUGGAGGUCCGGGUUCGAUUCCCGAUGGGGACAUUGUCGAAAUCACUUUGUGAGACUGUCCUUUAUUUGGUAAGGACUUUUCAGGCUUGAAUCACCUGAUUGUCCGAAAAAGUAAGAUGAUUCCGUGCUUCGGAGGGCACGUUAAGCCGUUGGUCCCGGC